UGGGGAAUUUUGGACAAUGGGCGCAAGCCUGAUCCAGCCAUGCCGCGUGCGGGAAGAAGGCCUUCGGGUUGUAAACCGCUUUUGUCAGGGAAGAAAUCUUCUGAGUUAAUACCUCGGGAGGAUGACGGUACCUGAAGAAUAAGCACCGGCUAACUACGUGCCAGCAGCCGCGGUAAUACGUAGGGUGCAAGCGUUAAUCGGAAUUACUGGGCGUAAAGCGUGCGCAGGCGGUUUUGUAAGACAGAGGUGAAAUCCCCGGGCUCAACCUGGGAACUGCCUUUGUGACUGCAAGGCUUGAGUGCGGCAGAGGGGGAUGGAAUUCCGCGUGUAGCAGUGAAAUGCGUAGAUAUGCGGAGGAACACCGAUGGCGAAGGCAAUCCCCUGGGCCUGCACUGACGCUCAUGCACGAAAGCGUGGGGAGCAAAACAGGAUUAGAUACCCUGGUAAGUCCACGCCCUAAACGAUGUCAACUGGUUGUUGGGAAGGUUCCUUCUCAGUAACGUAGCUAACGCGUGAAGUUGACCGCCUGGGGAGUACGGCCGC
rnacentral:rRNA from 1 species